UUGGCGGGGCCUUUGUCUCUGGCUCAGGCCGGAGCCUGAGAUCCAUCUCUACUGUCCCGCGUGUUGCCCCUCGGGAGCACUCGGUGACUUUGUCACAUCCUCUGUUGCCCUGAGAUCUGGAGGUACUGGGAGAUGCAUAGCUAAGAUGCCAGGACAUCCUGGAAACCAGGAAAUGUUUGUCUGCAUCUUGUUAUUGGGCCACAAGAACACACAGCCAGACCCAGUUUGGUCCAGGAACAACAUCUGGCAAGCUAGCCAAGAGUCACUGAAAUGGUGCUGCACUCAGUGGCCCGUGAUUGUGGCGAGAUGGUCAUUUGGAGACUCCCAGAAGCUGCUGGAUAAGAUUGUCCUGGGGACUCUCCCAGGGGCUAUUCCAUGUGCAAAAACCACAUGUCCCCCUCACCACUGGGGAAGAAUGGUGAUCAGGCAGGUGGUGAUCAGGCAGGAGUGGAUGCACUCAAAGGGUGAGUAAAACCGGAUCAUAUGCAGGAAGGCUGUUAUUUUCUUAUCUGGGCUUAUUAAGCCGUUUGGUCUGAUACCGUCAGGAAAAUAGUAGGGCUCAUUUUUAUACUCAGUUGCUAUUUGGUUAGGAGUAAACCUGAAGCUGAUUUCAGAUCUGUUUUACCCAAGUACGCUUCCUUUUGUGUUUGUCUGAAACUGUCUCCAUGUUCAUGUCUGUGGUUUUGUUAGACUUAAAAUGGAAAGUGCUGCUUUCCUUCCCUCAGGAAGCCCUCUGGGAAAAAUGCUGUCAGAUUGGAAAUAGUACGAGGUUACCCCCAUGACUAAGGGGAAAAUGGUUUACUAUUGUAAUAUGGUUUGGCUAAUGUAUGCUUUAGGAUCCAAAAAACGGUGGCCAAUUUUGGGGUCUUUAAGCUAUUAUAUCUCAGUUACAGCUGUUUUGUCAAAGUUUGAGGAAAUGGGAGGAAGGGUUUAAAAAUUCCCCUACAUUCAGGCACUUAUGUUGCUACAUAACCAAGAGGUUAAAGGGAGUAAGUUAAUGUUGCAUUACCCAGACAAAGUGUGACCUGACCCUGAGGGAGAGGAAGAAAGAAAAAGAGCUAGAGAGUCAGCAAUUGCUAUACAUGCCUAAUCCAGUAAAAGCUAGUGUCCCACCACCUAGUCAAGAGAGUGAAGAGUCACCACCCCCAAAGUUCAAAGAGGCUACAAACACAGUCUCUCCCUCCUGAACUGGGCAAGGCACUAAUUUUGGCUGAGGAGCUACCAAGCCUGGGGCAGGACAAUUUCCCUUCUGACAAUAUCCCACGGGAGUUAAUCAGCAAGAGCCUCUGGCUGGAUAUUACUGAGCAUGAAGCCCUUUUUCCACAUCUGAUUUACUGAAUUGGAAAAGUUCCAGUCCUUCCUACAGGGAAGAUCCCCAGAAGAUGACUGAACAGUUACCACUAUUUUUGCCACCCAUUGCCCUACCUGGGCUGAUGUGCAAGCCCUCCUAAAUAUUAUGCUUACUGCAGAUGAGAGAAGGCUAGUAUUAGACGAAGGAGAAAAAAAAGCACUUUCAUGAUGAAAGCCCUGAUGAUACCCUAGACCCUGAUGAGCUGAUUCCAUGCAGUGACCCAAAUUUGGACCCAAAUGAGGCCAGUGUAGCUGGAGAUAAUUGUCUGUAGCAUUGUAAAAGGUGUAUUCUAAAGGACAUUAGGUAGGGGUGCUGAGACCUAAAAGUCUGAAUAAAGUGCAGGAACUUCAGCAGAAACCUAAUGAGGACCCCUCAGAAUUUAUGGAACAGAUGUGUCAAAUGUAUAGAAAGUAUACAGACUUAGAUCCACAGGACCCCAGAAAUGUCAGAAUGGUAAACAUGACUCUUAUAAGGCAAAGUGCCCCCAGACAUCAGAAAGAAGUUCCAAAUGUGGAAGGGGCUAUCGGAAUGAAUGCUUCUCAGUUAAUUGACAUUGCAUUCAAUGUCUAUAAUAGCAGGGAAUCCAAGGAAACUAAGGCUCUAUGGCAGGCAGCAAUACUUAGAGCCACUGUGGUAGGAAACCCAAAGAAAAAGGGACCCCUGAGGCAGAAGGAAAAUAUAGGAAAGGAUCAAUGCACUUACUGUCAGGAGACAGGGCAUUGAAAGAAAGACUGCCCCAAGUUGAUUAAGAAGGAGCUUAGGUCACUUAUGGCUGUUAAGCCUGAAAACGAAUCCAAAGAGGACUGAGGGACCCAAGACUCCUGAUGGCUCCAACCCUGUCUGACCUUAAGAUUUUCCCUCAGGAGCCUUGGGUAAAUUCGACAGUGGGGAAAUGAAAAUUGGACUUCUAAAUCCAUAUGGGUGCUGCUUACUCAUCAAUUAAUAUCCCAAUUAGUGAACCUUUUUUGAGACUGAGUUGCUCUAUCGCCCAGGCUGGAGUGCAGUGGCAUGCUCUCAGCUCACUGCCACCUCUGCCUCCUGGGUUCAAGCAAUUCUGCCUCAGCCUCCCAAGUAGGUGGGAAUACAGGCAUGCCUCACCAUGCCCAACUAAUUUUUGUAUUUUUAGUAGAGACAGGGUUUCACCAUGUUGGCCAGUCUGGUCUCGAACUCCUGACCUCAAGUGAUCUGCCCAUCUUGGCCUCCCAAAGUGCUGGGAUUACACGCGUGAGCCACCACACCCGGCCUUACUGAACUUUUUGACACCUCUGUCAAUAUAGUUGGGGUGAGCGGAAAGCUAAAAUCAGAAUAGUUCUUUCACCCUCUAUCCUGGAAGGUGGGAAAUGGCUUAAUAACUCAUUGGUUUCUUUUUUCCUUUUGUUUUUUGAGACAGGGUCUUGCUCUGUCACCCAGGCUGAAGUGCAGUGGUGCGAUCUUGGCUCACUGCAUCCUCCGUCUCCCAGGUUCAAGCAAUUCUCUGCCUGAGCCUCCCGAGUAGCUGGGAUUACAGGCGCCUGCCACCGCGCCCAGCUAAUUUUUUUGUAUUUUUAGUAGAGGCAGGGUUUCACCAUCUUGGCCAGGCUGGUCUUGAGCUCCUGACCUCGUGAUCCACCCACCUCGGCCUCCCAAAGUGCUGGGAUUACUGGUGUGAGCCAAGGUGCUCGGCCUCAUCAGUUUCCUUAUGUGCUGGACUGCUCGAUCUCUCUGCUUGGUAGAGACCUCUUAUGUAAGUUACAGGCAUGAGUUGUCUUUGACCCAGAGAUGCGCCAGAUGUGCCUCCAGGUACCCUCAGAACACAGAUUGUGGCGACAGGCCCUCCUGAUGAAAUCGGAGACUUCACACCUUAAGGUAGAGAUGAUUCCACAGGAAGUCCUCAACAAGGUAAAGCCGGAAGUAUCAGCAUCCAACCAACCAAGGCGGACAAUUAAUGUGAAUCCAGUAGAAAUCAAGCUGAAGGAAGGGACCCAACCUGUUCGAAAGGAACAAUACGCCUUAAAGAAAGAGGCCCUAGAAGGCAUCCAGCUGGUACAUUCUGAUUCUUGUGGCAUGUCUUAAUAAGACUUUGUCAGUCUCCAUAGAACAUGCCCAUUCUGCCAGUAAAGAAAUCUCAUCCAUGCAAGUACAAAUUCAUGCAAGAUAUAAGGGUGAUCAGUGAUACUGUAGAAGACACCCACCCCACUGGGGCCAAUCAAUACACUAUUUUUAUCUUCCUGUCCAGAGACCAUGAAUGGUUUAGAGUAUUAGAUUUGAAGGAUGCUUUCUUUUGCAUACCAGUGAAUGCAGAAAGCCAAUUAUUGUUUGAGUGGACAGACCCUGAAACAGCUGCACAAUUUCAAUAUUGUUGGACAGUGCUUCCUCAAGGGUUUAAAAAUUCCCCAACUGUAUUUGGGAAGCACUGGCUCAGAACUUAAGAGACUUACAAUUGGAAAAUGGGGUACUGCUACAGUAUGCGGAUGAUUUGCUAAUCUCCAGCUCCUUGAAGCAAGAAUGUCAGGAUAACACUGUAAAAACUCUAAACCAUUUGGCAGCCUGUGGGUACAAGGUCUUAAGCAAAAGGGCACAGGGGUACAGAUAUGCAAACAAACCAUGGGAUACCUAAGAUUUCUGUUACAGAGAAACCAGAGCCCUGACGGUGGAGAGGCAAAAUGCAGUUGCCUCUAUCACGACACCCACAACCAGAAAGCAGCUAAGGGGCUUCCUGGGAAGGGCAGGGUUCUGUAGAAUCUGGAUUUCCAAUUAUGGCUGAAGGUAAAGCUGCUAUAUGAACUGGUAAAAGGGGCCAACCACAACCCCUUUAAAUGAGAGCUGUAACACCAGAAUGCGUUUAAACAAUUAAAGCUUAAGAUGACAUCUACCCCAUCUCUGAGGCUGCCAAAUCCUCAUAAACCCUUGCAACUUUAUGUGCAUGAAAGACUGGGUCUGGCACUCGGGAUCCUAACACAAAAACUAAAAGAAAUAUUGCAACCAGUGGCUUAUUUGUCAAAAGGAUUGAUACAGUGGCAAGGGGCUGGCCCCCUUGUCUCAAAGCAGUAGCUGCCGCCUGCUUGUUGCUCAAGGGAGCUGAGAAGCUGACUUUGGGUCAGCCCAUCGUGAUUUAUGUGCCCCAUCAAGCCUGGUGUUAUUUGAGCAGAAGGGUGGCUACUGGCUGACGGUUGUCAGAUUAGGCUGAUAGCGGGCCAUCCUGCUUGAUAAUCCCACAGUAAAACUGCAGACCACUGGAGCCUCAAACCCUGCCAUUUUGCUGCCACCUACUGGGGAACAAAGGAACUAGUACACAACUGCCUAGAGGUUAUAAUCAAGUAUUUUCUGGUCUCCCAGAUCUAAAGGAUGCAGCCCUCCCCUAUGUAGACUGGUUGCUGUUCAUGGAUGGAAGAAGCUUAGUCACCAACAAAGGAGAAAUGCUGCCUAUGCUGUAGUAACUCUCUUGGAGGUAAUAGAGGCAAGAACACUCCCGACAGGGACUUCUGCGGAAAAGGCUGAGUUAGUCGCUUUUACCAGAGCCUUGCAACUGUCCCAAGGUGAGAGCACCAAUAUCUACACUGAUUCCAAAUAUUCCUUCAUGAUAGUUCAUGCACACAGAGCUAUUUGGAAGGAAAGGGGACUGCUAAAAGCUGAUAAUACUGAAAUUUUAUAUGCUAAGCAAGUGUUGGAGCUGUUGGAAGCAGUAACAGCGUCAAGAAAAAUAGCUGCUAUGCAUUGUCCAGGCCAUAAGAGCAGCGAUUUCAAACCAGUUAGGGGGAACACCUUCACCUACUGCACAGCCAGGCAUCUAGCCAGCACCAGUGCCAAGGUCCAGGCACCUUUGAUUUCCCAAGUAGAUUUGGCAGCUUUCAAACCCCAGUGUAGUUUGAGGAUGAAAAGAUUGCCAAGGACAAAAUUAAGACAAGAAAGGCUGGAAAGUAAAUAACAAGGGCCUGGUUUGGGUGCCAGCACACCUUCCUUCAACCCAAUGCUAAAAUAUAUUCAUGAUAGCAUGCAUUUUGGAUGAGAUGCCUCGUUAACUUUUGUGCAAAAAUAUAUGAAGGAAAAGGCUCACUUAAGAAGUAUAAUACAACAUUGCUACCUUUGCGCUGAAAAUGAGACCAAUAACUAUAGCAAAGGACAACCCAGACAACAGGCGAGAGGGAAGCAUCUACUAGAAAAUUGGCAGAUUGACUUUGCUCAAAUGCCACUUGCCCCUGGAAGGUACAAAUACCUCUUAGUUGUAGUGGACACUCUCAGGCUGGGUGGAAGCCUACCCAUAUCAUACCGAGUGGCCAACAGAGGUAGUUAAAGUGCAGCUAAAGAACAUCAUACACCGAUAUGGGCUCCCUGACAUUAUCCAUAGUGACAAUGGGCCUUCAUUUACCUCGGAAAUAACCCAACAAGUAAGCAAAACAGUAGGAAUAAAAUGGAAGCUGCACUCGGCAUGGAAGCCUCAAUCCUCUGGACAGACUGAAAGAAUGCAUCAUACUUUAAAGACAAUUCUUGCUAAGCUAUGUCAGGAAGCUCAGUUAAAAUGGAUUCAGGUACUUGGGAUUGCACUGCUCUGGGUAAGAAUGGCCCCCAGAAAUGGGAUUAAGUUAAGUUCUUAUGAAAUUAUUUUCGGGAGGCCCUUUGUAGCCUUGUCCUGGGUUGCUAGAGUGUCAGUGGAUACAGAAUUAGUUAUUAAAACUUAUGUCACUCAGGACGAACUCUUAAUGAUUUGCAUAAGUUUGCUUCUUAGAGGAAUGACACAGAUUUUGUAGGAGACCGCCACCCAUUUCAGCCUGGUGAUCAAGUGCUGCUGAAGGAAUGGAGGGAAGCUGAUCCUGCCCAACAACUACAGGAAAAAUGGAAAGGGCCCUACGAUGUGCUGUUGACUACUGACUUGGCACUGAAGCUGACAGGCAUCAAACCCUGGGUUCAUCAUAUGAAAAGUCUUUCUCUAGGACCUGGAAAUGACUGCUCGGAAAUGUAAACAGCAAAAAAGUUAGAGCCCUAUCGCACAGCUUGCUCCAAGUUUCAAAAUUACCUUCUGUCCCUCCUGGACUUGGGACCAUUAUUUUUCCUUCAGAUAUGCCAGUCAGCAACCACAGAUGGCCUCCCCAAUUACCAGACUCAUUCAGACGUUGCUGCCUUCUCCAGCCUCUUUAAACUUUAAAGGCCAGCAGAGAAUGCCAUGUUUCAGGAUGGUGAUUGGUGGUUUUCACUUUGGACCAUAAGCAUCCGUGUUGUGCUCACCUGCUGCUGUGUAAGACAUGCCUACUUCUGCUUUCACCAUGAUUACAAGUUUCCUGAGACCUCCCCAGCCAUGCAGAACCGUAAGUCAAUUAAACCUCCUUUGUUUACAAAUUACCCAGUCUUGGUUAGUAUUUUUAUAACAUUGUGGGAAUGGACUAAUACUGUCUGUUUUGUUAAAAGACUAAGUUUCAAUUGGGAGCCAAGAUGACUGACUAGACACAGCCAGGGGAAACAACUGACAAGACACUGAGACAUUGAAAUUUCCGUCCCAUUCUGAGCCUAUCUUCAGAUGAAAUGCAUUGCAAGUGGGCAGAGGGAGGACACAGAUGCUGGAAACCCUUCAUGGUGUACCAAGUACUAGGAACUUAAGUCCACUUUUUCUGAGCCCCGCAAAACAUCAGAACUUGCUCAGGGAUUGCCAUCAUUGUGAUCUAGACUACCGGGGUUUUUUGUAAUUUUUUUUUUGAGACGGAGUCUUACUCUGUCACCCAGGCUGGAGUGCAGUGGCGUGAUCUCAGCUCACUGCAACCUCUGCCUCC